ACACCCCAAAACGUCACAGUUACGUUGCAGGAAACGAGUUUCUACAGCUACCCUCCCCCACAUCACACUCGCUGACCAUCAAUUAGGAAACGCGCGCUUUGCUACCUGCACAAAAGGAAGGCGUUGAGAAGAGUGAGCGUACGAGUCAGCAUCAUCGAGAAAACCCCAGAAAGUGACAAAUACUUCAGAAUUAAAGCAGAUGGACAAUCCCACUGAAGAUGGUGAUUAUUCUGACUCAAGUCUUUUUGGAUCAGAUGAGGAAUACAAACCAACUAAGACAUCCUCUGAGUCGAGUGAUGACGAGGAGAUAUUCCAUCCAAAGGUAGAAAAAUUGUUCUUAUGAUACAUCCAGUGAAGACUCUACAAGUCAUCAGACAUAUGAAGCAGAGGAGCACAGUCAUGUCUGCAAUUCGUAAAGAAGCCCCAAAAAGGGAAAAGCAUCUCUCCAAACGAGGGAAGACUGAAUUGGAUGAUUCGAGUCCAGGCGGGGACCCUGGCGGUCCGAUCCUUGGCUGCAGAAGCUAGCUCUUGGGACAUGGAAUGUCACCUCUCUGGCAGGGAAGGAGCCCGAGCUGGUGUGUGAGGCAGAGAAUUUCCGACUGGAUAUAGUCGGACUUGCCUCCACACACAGCCUGGGUUCUGGUACCAGUUCUCUCGAGAGGGGUUGGACUCUCUUCCACUCUGGAGUUGCUCACGGUGAGAGGCGCAGAGCAGGUGUGGGCAUACUCAUUGCCCCCCGCCUCAGUGCCUGUACAUUGGGGUUCACACCGGUAGACGAGAGGGUUGCCUCCCUCCGCCUUCGGGUGGGUGGACGGGUCCUGACUGUUGUUUGUGCAAAUGCACCAAACAGCAGCUCAGCAUACCCACCCUUUUUGGAGUCCUUGGAGGGUGUGCUGGAGAGUACUCCUGCUGGGGACUCCAUUGUUCUGCUGGGGGACUUCAAUGCUCACGUGGGCAAUGACGGUGAUACCUGGAGGGGCGUGAUUGGGAGGAACGCCCCCCCCGAUCAAAACCCGAGUGGUGUUUUGUUAUUGGACUUCUGUGCUCGUCACGGAUUGUCCAUAACGAACACCUUGUUCAAACAUAAGGGUGUCCAUAUGUGCACUUGGCACCAGGACACCCUAGGCCGCAGUUCGAUGAUCGACUUUGUAGUUGUAUCAUCGGAUUUGCGGCCGCAUGUUCUGGACACUCGGGUGAAGAGAGGGGCGGAGCUGUCAACUGAUCACCACCUGGUGGUGAGUAGGCUCCAAUGGUGGGGGAAGAUGCCGGUCCGUCCUGGCAGACCCAAACGUAUAGUGAGGGUUUGUUGGGAGCGUCUGGCGGAAUCCCCUGUCAGAAGGAGUUUCAACUCCCACCUCCGACAGAGCUUUUCCCAUGUUCCGGGGGAGACGGGGGACAUUGAGUCCGAGUGGACCAUGUUCCGUGCCUCUAUUGUUGAGGCGGCCAAUCUGAGUUGUGGCCGUAAGGUGGUUGGUGCCUGUCGUGGCGGCAAUCCCCGUACUCGCUGGUGGACACCAGCAGUAAGGGAUGCCGUCAAGCUGAAGAAGGAGUCCUAUCGAGCCUUUAUGGCCUGUGGGACCCCAGAGGCAGCUGACGGGUAUCGACUGGCCAAGCGGACCGCGGCUUCGGUGU